CCAGGCUCCAGCGGGCAGCCUGUCUCGUGAGUGGCCACAAGAAAAUAAAUCUCAGAGUUGUAUAUGGUGAUAUAUUAUUUUGAUUCCUGCAGUUUAGAGGAAAAUCCCAAAUCUGCAUUACCCUCAGAAGUGUUUAAGAAGUAUAUUUUCAGAUCAAGUAGGACAGCGGUCCCCAACCACCAGGCCGUGGACCGGUAUCGGGCCUCAAAGCACGUGCUACUGGGCCGCGAAGAAACGAUAUGAUUUGGCGACAUGAAAUGAUAUGAGUCAACUGCACCUUUCCUCAUUCCCUGUAAUGCACUGUUGAACGAACGCACGCAUGGUUAUCAGUGACCCAAGACGUGCAAAGGAAUGGGUCCGUGACCCAUUUGUGAAUGUCCCCAGUGAAUCAUCCAUGUCAGCACGAGAAAA